UACAGAGGGUGCAAGCGUUAAUCGGAAUUACUGGGCGUAAAGCGCACGUAGGCGGAUUUGUAAGUCAGGGGUGAAAUCCCGAGGCUCAACCUCGGAACUGCCUUUGAUACUGCAAAUCUCGAGUCCGGAAGAGGUGAGUGGAAUUCCUAGUGUAGCGGUGAAAUGCGUAGAUAUCGGAAGGAACACCAGUGGCGAAAGCGGCUUCCUGGUCCAGCACCGACGUUCAGGCACGAAAGCGUGGGGAGCAAACAGG
rnacentral:rRNA from 1 species